CACACACACACUAUCUAUUUUACUGUCUUUCUUUCACACUCUCUUUUUGACUCUCUUUUUUUCUGUCCCUCUCUUCCACACUCUCAUCUCCCCCAACUAUCUCUCUCUCUCUCUCACACACACACACACACACACUAUCUCUUUUACUGUCUUUCUUUCACACUCUCUUUUUGACUCUCUUUUUUUCUGUCCCUCUCUUCCACACUCUCAUCUCCCCCAACUAUCUCUCUCUCUCUCUCUCUCUCUCUCUCUCUCUCUCUUUCACUGUCUUUUUUCACACUCUCUUUUUGCCUCUCUUCCACCCUGUCAUCUCUCUCUCUCUCUCUCUCUCUCUCUCUCUGUGUGUGUGUGUGUGGUUAGUUAAUUUUAUUUAAAUACAGCAGGGUUUUAUGAGGAAGCAUAACUAUUUUCAUAACAUUGCCUUUAAUUCAUCCUUUAUAUGUCUUCCUCUAAAGUUGUUACUGUUUUGGCUUAUAUAGUCCAACUAUUUCCACUCAUUUUCCUGUACUAAGUAAGAAAAAAAAGGAAAACUUUUAACUCGGCAUUCACUUCUAAUGGAAUUCUAAGGGCAAUUAUUUUGGGGAAUAAUGAAUGAAAAGAUCAUUAUAACUAUAAAUCUUAUUAUUCCUAUUAUUUCUCAGUUUAGAGAUGGACCUACAUUUUUACAGGAAGAAUCUGGCAUCAUGCCAAUGUUACCGGUGUAGCCAGGACAGUGUUGGGACACGGACACCAAAAACUCACAUGGUCUGUGUGGGAUUCAUCUGGGUUCUCCAGUUUCCUUCAACCCUCAGAAACAUGCAUUGUUCCCAGUAUAGGCUCUGAAUCCACUGCAGCCCGGACCACAAUAAAAGUCGUUACUGAAGAUGAAUAAAUGACUCACAAAUCUCUUCAACAAGAAGUUUGGUAAGAUUUUC